AAAAAAACUAAAGCCAUUGUCUAAAACCCUAAACAGCCACCUUUCCCUUCAUAGCAUUGAUGUCAUGAGACUACAUAGCCAUUUGGUGCAACCGUGCAAGGUAAAGGUUGAGCAUAUUAUGAAUCCUAGCUUCCUUGCAAAAUCUGCGAAGUUUGUAGUCCUAAUAGUGAUAUACUCAAAUUUAGUACCUAACCCUGAUAUAAAACCAAAUGGUUAAUUGCAAUGAAAGCUGACAGCAUAUUAACUAGUAUUAUUUCAUAGAGCAAACCAAUAUUUUGCAAAAAUGAAGAAUAUAUACUCUUCAUAAAUUCACUUUACAACUUCAUGAAUAAACAAUUUAUUUGUAAUGCAAUUUGCUUUCACUGGACAAGGUUCUAGGAACAUCUCUUUUUUUUUCCCCCCCAUUACCUAAUUUCUGAUGAAAGAAUUGACAGCUUCAUGAGAAUUAUCCCUUUAUGAAACAACAAGAAUAAGCUUCCUCAGGAAGAGGGGUGAAAAUUUACCUGAGGCAACCUAAAAAAUACAAGCAAGA
rnacentral:misc_RNA from 1 species